rnacentral:rRNA from 1 species
GUGGGGAAUAUUGCGCAAUGGGGGAAACCCUGACGCAGCAACGCCGCGUGAGUGAUGAAGGCUUUCGAGUCGUAAAACUCUGUCUUUGGGGACGAAUAAUGACGGUACCCAAGGAGGAAGCCCUGGCUAACUACGUGCCAGCAGCCGCGGUAAUACGUAGGGGGCAAGCGUUGUCCGGAAUCACUGGGCGUAAAGGGCGCGUAGGCGGUUUGUUAAGUCAGGUGUGAAAGUUUUCAGCUUAACUGGAAAAGUGCACUUGAAACUAACUUACUUGAGUACUGGAGAGGUAAGCGGAAUUCCUAGUGUAGCGGUGAAAUGCGUAGAUAUUAGGAAGAACACCGGUGGCGAAGGCGGCUUACUGGACAGAGACUGACGCUGAGGCGCGAAAGCGUGGGGAGCGAACAGGAUUAGAAACCCGGGUAGUCC